ensembl:lncRNA
AACUGUGGGAACUUUUACUUCACCGGGUUUCCUUCAGAACUCACACAGGUACGCGUGAGCAGUGAGCACUCAUACUUCGUGCGCACCUGGCGGUGUCUCUGAAGCUCAGCCUACAGGGCGUGGAAAAGCCCUGGAAUUGUUUUCGACGCUGGUUUCCCAACAUCGCCCAUACUUCUUCGGAUUUCCCUAACAAAGUGUACUGCCUCCCCGGCUUUUCGCAAGGAAUACUCUUUUUUCCCCCCUACUACCUUCACCGAUCCACUUGGAAGACGAAUUAUGUAAAGCUUUUACCACGAUCGCUCUCUGGCAGUUAUCGAACAGAAAUCUUGAUCUGCCAUAGCGAGUUGUUUCUCAGAAAGGUAAUGUUUCUGCAGCAGCACUCAAGAGGAUCAGAGGAAACAACAGGAGGAGGAGAGCAGAGAGAGGGGGAAAGUCAAAAGUAAGUGGUGAAUAAGGAGAUGUAAGUCUGUGUUUGGCAGUAAGGAGUGGGGAUGGGCUAGUUAAUCUACAUUUUGCUUCUAAUUUCUGUCUUCGCUUUACUAUUUUGUGCUUUAAAUGGGAUAAAUACCAAGAUGCAGUUUUUCAGAAAGGGUUUUGGUAUGUGGACAGCGUGAUGCUCUUAAGUGUGCUGUUAGUCUGUCAGCGGCGUAAACUCUUAUAGUAUUUUAAAGCAUCACUACUGCAUCCAUCCAAACAGCACUUUAACACAUUCACCACCUUAAGGAAUGAAUUUCAAGACGGUUUUAUUUUUUUGGAUCUAAAUCGCCUGCUGUGAGAAAUGUGAGUUCUGUGACUGUUUUGUGCAGUAAAGUAUUAUAGUAUGUUUAUUUUAAAAAAUUGCAUACACACUUUUGGUUUUCUAAAGUAAUUUGAAAAAGUUUCUGUGAGACAUAAUUUCACAAACAGUGUGAAUGAAUCACUGCGUGCUCACUUUCUUUCUCAAAAUCAAUGGUAAGUUUUAAUUUAGAAUGUUUGUGAUAACGUAAGAAAGUAGUUUAAAUGUUUUGCUUUAGCAGCUUAAUAUAUAAAUCUUAAAGUAAAUGCAAAAGUAAAAAGCAUUUAAUAAUUGAUGAAAGAUUGUAUUACUGUACUGUGUAAAAAAAGAAUCACACUGUUGAAAAGGCAUUUUAAGUAACAAAGUUUGGAAUUUAAAAUCAAAAUAAUGGAUAAAUGUUGUGUUUGUGGUUUGUGGAUCAGGAGCAGACUCCUGUGUGAAAGCACAGUCCGUGCUGCUUCUGUACCACACAUGGACUACAUACACACUGCAAACAGAGUAUGUGUGAACCUCACAUACAGCUCACAAAAUCAGGCUUGUGCUGUGUAAGCUAUUGUGCAACAAUUUCACGAUUGUAAAAACAAAAAUACAAUGUAUGAUCAAACAUUUAGGUGAGAUAAAUAUAUAUUUUUGAAAAAAUGAAAUAUAAAAUAAAAAUAAAAUAAAUCCUCUCA